rnacentral:rRNA from 1 species
AUACGGAGGAUCCGAGCGUUAUCCGGAUUUAUUAGGUUUAAAGGGUGCGCAGGCGGAACUGUAAGUCACCGGAGAAAUCCUACAGCUUAACUGUAGAACUGCCGGUGAUACUGCGAUUCUUGAGUAUAGUUGAGGUAGGCGGAAUGUGUAGUGUAGCAGUGAAAUGCAUAGAUAUUACACAGAACACCGAUUGCGAAGGCAGCUUACUAAACUAUUACUGACGCUCAUGCACGAAAGCGUGGGGAGCGAACAGGAUUAGAAACCCCGGUAGUCC